AGAAGCAGAUGGUACUGCUGAACCAAAUGUGUGAAAGGCUAGUAACUCAUAGAUGCAUAUAAUUUUUAGAGUUGGAAGAGACCAAGGAGUUAAAUUCAUCUAACUCCCAUUCUAUAAGUAUUUCAGAUGACUGCAGUUGUGUCCUCAUCAUCAAUCUCUAAAUGAAGUUACUUGAAGCAAUUCUUGAAACCAUAAUAAUAAUGUCUCCAGAAUUGGUGGAUUCUUGGUCUCACUGACUUCAAGAAUGAAGCCACGGACCCUCGCGAAGGACUUUGGACAACAAUUUCUUUGACUGAAACUGGGGUCAGAGUUGCAGACUCCCUGGAACAUGAAAAGUCAAUAAUCUAGUUCCCAAAAGGCAGACAAGAAACUAUUCCCAAGAUGAACAAAUGAUGAGAAUAGAGGUAAAGGUGAAAAUGAUGUGCUGUCAGCUGUGAAAUGAGAAAGCCUUCCAUCAGACCCUGGAAAAGAUGUAAAGAGCUGUACUUCAGAAAAAUAUUGGAGAAAAGUACAAAUCUUAAAAAAAUUUUUUUGAGUAGUGCAUUUCAUCAGCAGAUGCUGUCAAUUUUGUUAUACUGGUAACAGAUAUCUAUGGAAAAUGAAAUUCUCAACAGCACAUUGCCAGCAUGUUCCCCCACAAAAACAGCCAUGGUUAAAUAAAAUAGAAAUUCUUGCACAUGAUUAGAAAUUUGCAAAAGAGAUUAAAUGUGGCAUUGAUAUAAUAAAGCCUUUGAUUAACUAACAAAACUUCAUCAGGUAUCUAAAAGAGCUGUUUGAAUUUCUAACCAAGUCAGAACACCAGCUAUUACACUCCUUAAAACAAUUAUGCCCCAAAUUAACAUCUUAUAUGCAAAAACAUUUUGUCUGUUUUGAAGACUAACAAAGACUGGAAAAGCAUGAGAAAGAUGAGUAGUUAUCACUUCAAUAGUGUUUGGAUUAUUGAGUUAUGGUUAAUUGAUGGUCUUUAAUAGGAUUUACAAAGCUAGUAUCAUAGACGGUCAGGGAAAUCCUCUUUCCAAACAUUAUAUAGUUAAGUCACAGAAGAUGCUGUGGAAAAUAGACCCAAAUAGUGCCUAUAAGUAUAGUUGGUAUGAAUUGAAGCACUACAAGCAGUGAUAGAGCUGUGUGGAAGACAGAAGACAAACAUCACACUUUUAAGUUUGCCGAUCUACCCUGGAAUAAAUUGAUGUUACAAUCCUUGAUGUUUGUAUUUCUGCUCUGUUGCUCUAAGUGAGAAUAUAGGAUGUACUUUGAGAGAUUACAGUAAGUUGUAGGAGUUCCUCACUCAUAUAAAUGGAUUGAACAGGGCCAGGUGCGGUGGCUCAUGCCUGUAACCCUGGCACUUUGGGAGGAUGAGGUGGGAGGAUUGCCUGAGCUCAGGAGUUCAAGGCCAGCCUAGGAAACAUGGGAAGACCCUGUCUCUAUGAAUGAAUGAAUAAUAAACAGAUUUAAUGAAUUCUGGAUCUGCUGUAUUUAUCGCAUAUCAUGUAUAAUAUCUUUAUGUAUGGUUAAUAAAUUCUAAAUAGAAAAGGUUAAUAAAUGAAUCAACAAGAUUGGGUACCAGAACACCAAGUAGAUAAGAUAUUAUCCAAGCCACACGAUUAUAGAGAACAUCCUCACAUUUUGGCAGCAGCAUAAAACAGACAAACAUCUACAUUAUCUCAUUUUUCCUGAAGAAAACAGAACUUCACAUGAGCUGAAAUGAAUGCUUGGUAUCAUGAUGGGUCUCUGUCAUUGUCCUUGGUAUGUCCUCUAAAGUAAAAACAGGAAAAUCCUCUUCUGAAUACCUAAUGAAGUAAGGUUUCAGCAAAGUCUUGUAGAAACUUAUGUUCUCUAGUCUCUAAGAAUUGAAAGGUGGGAGGGGCUUGGCUAAAGGAAUACUUGUUUGGUACUGGAGAAAAUGAAAAAGCAAAAACAUGGGAAUUCUGGGGUUCCGUGCCUCGCAAAUAUUUGUCUUGGGUGACAAAUUUUUUUCCAAAUUCUGAUUGUGUGGCUCCUGUUUCAGGAUGGGCUCUUUGAAGCUUUAAACAUUAAUCAGAGACUAUAUUCAGGUAUAAAGCAAGCCUGUGACCUUUGUCCAAGGAUUCAGUUCAGUCUUGUAAAUCAGAAAUUCAAAUGUCAAAUCAUUCAUGAUUUAUUCAGCUUUGGAUAUGGGCAUUUAGAAACACAUGCUGUCAAAGUAUAGAGGUGUAUUUUUAGUCAUUUGAGGCAUAUUCUCUGAAGUCUAUCCCAUCUACAAAGAUACAUACAUUUCCUUUAUGUAAUUUUAAAUUAUAAGAAUGGGGAACGUCUUUGACAGGACUAGUUUAUGCCAGUUAAGAUGCUGAAAGGCCAGCAAAGUCUUUGAUAGGGGAAAGGCCAUGAAUUUCUAGAUCACAUUUCAUAUUGAGAGAGUGGCUCAUUGUGGGAGCUAUUCACUUAAACAGAUUUAUUCUAUAUUUCAAUGUGCAAAUUAGUAUUCAAUGUAGCUAAGAGACAGUUUCAUGCUUGGAGCCAUGAACAGGGAGGUUUGAAAACAAAUCACAGUGUGAGGCAAAGUAGGGUCAAUUAAGGGGGUUGCCAUUUAGACAAGUCCCAUAGAUGGGAUAAGGUUUUCUUUUUGGUGAGCCUUUGGACAGGAUGAGAAGGUCAGUUGUGGACAGUAACCUCAAACUAAAGGAACUGAAAUAAGUUUCUGAGCUUUAUUCAGUAUAUUCAACAGAGACAAACUGUCCAAGAUACCCUAUUCUUCCUUAGUGAGUUGAGCAAGGGAGUGGAUCACACGUUCUCAGCUGACAUUGACACAGCCUGAGGCCUAUGGAAAGGGAAUGAGGUAGUCUUCUUAUCUGUGAGGGAAUCUGAAACUUCAGUGAGUCCUUAGUCACCUAAGAAGGGUUGUCUUUUGGGAGGAACGAGGGCAACCUUACAGGUAUAAAUCCUUCCUUUUUAGAAAACAAUACAAGGUAUUACUCUACACAUAAUUAGGAGAUAUUCAAAAGAAUCUUCUUUAUUUUGAUCAGUAUUUAUUUAUUUAUUUAUAAAUUUCUGUCAGGGUGGGGGAAAAUCUUGUUCAAUACAGAUUCCACCAGGAUUGUAGCUAAGUCACAGACAGCCUAUGCAGUGUCCAGAUAUCCACAUGCUGAGGUGAACUUCAUCUUCAAGGUAUUUAUCUAUGCAUACCAGCAUCCAUGGAGAUGCUAAUAACUAACCAUGCAGAUUGUUGCCAAAUGUUCCCUAAUUCUUGACCUUAAGGACUCUUUAGGAUCAGCAUUCUCUUAGCCACUUUGUGGCUCACUCAGAUCUAUCUAUCUGCCUAAACAUAACACUCAACCAUUCUUAUUCUGUGGUUCUGCCACUGCACUGAGCUCCACCUGGUAAUGGGGACAUUGAUUCUGUUGUUUUCACAUCCCCCAAGCUGAUUUGGGGUUCUGUUGUCCCCCCUCCCCACUAGAGAUUAAUCUUGGGUGAACAGGAGAGAGGUAGUCUCAGAGUAUGGGAGUCCUUCUUAUUCGCUGUAACAGGCACAGAUUAUUGUAGCUCAAAUAACAGAAAUCCUAGCCAACAGUGGCUUAAAUAUCUCACAUAACCAGAGGUCUGGAAAUGCAGACCAGGACUGGUAUAGCAGCUUAGUUAUACUGCCAAGAAUUCAUCUUCUUGCCAUAUUUCCUCUUUGUCUUCCUCAGCUUUUGGCUUCUAUUAUUGUGGUUGUCAUUAUUGUGCUUUUCAUGUUCACAAGAUGACUGCCACAUCUCCAUGUCACAUCCAUGGUCAAGGUGGGAAAAAGGAGUUAGCACCAACUACGUUCCACUCAAUCAGAAAAGCAAAAGCUUUCUCAGAAACUUCCCAGAAAAAUUUCCCUUUACCACAUUGGGUUAGCCAAUUACAAAUGACUGGUACAAGAACCCAUGGAUAUUUAAGUUCUCAGUUUUCUUCAGAUUCUCUUCAUCCCUCAUAAUCCCAGGAAACUUGUUAUAGUCUGUCUAGGACAGAUACUAACUUGGCUCAUUGACUACCCACUUCCAGUCACAUUCUCCAUUGCUUUCCUCUACUCUACAGGUUAGAGAGCUCUAAAUGCUUAAUUUCUCAGUUUCUCUUGGUUCUAAGGAUGGUCAUGUGACCCGGUUCUAGCCAGUCGGGUGUGUGUGUGUGUGUGUGUGUGUGUCUUCCUUUCCUGAAUAAAAAAGGCAAAGGCUCACUAGGAAAUUCUCUUUGUCAUUCCCUCCUCUUCCUAUAUGGAACAUAGCUUUGAUGCCUGAAGGUACAACAAACAUCUCAUGACUAUGAGGGGAUGAAAAUGGAUACCAAGGAUACCAAGAUGAUGGAACAAAAAGAAUUGAUUUGGAACAUGACGGCACUAUGGAUUCAUCGUAUUGGACCUCUGUGAUAUAAUUCUGAACUUUUCAUAUAAGACUAAUAUACCCCUACUUGUUUAAUACAACUGUAGAGUUAUCUGCUACUUGCAGCCAAAUGUAAUCCUAACUAAUAUAGGCAAUAAAUCAUGUUUUUAUAUCACUA